rnacentral:lncRNA from 1 species
CGGUCAUUGAGGGAGAAGCCAUUGCUUUGCUGGAAGGUCUUCGUCUUUGCCGGGAACGGGGAGAUUCGGAUGUUAUCUUCGAAACUGAUAGCCAAGUCCUUUAUUGGCUGUUGAUGAAGAAGGAAAAGGAUAUGUCUUAUUUGGGAGAUACGCUGAGAACUAUCCAGGAGAUUUUGGUUUCUUUCCGCCAUUUUGCUUUUAGCUGGACGCCUCGUGAAGGGAAUGCGGCUGCCGACAAACUUGCUGGUUUUGCUUUAUGUAAUGUUUUACCUCUUUCUUCCGCUAGGGUGUUGCCUGUUACUGUGAACUCUCCUUCGUUUUAAUGAUAGCUUCUUUUAUUCUCAAAAAA